UACGGAGGGUGCGAGCGUUGUCCGGAAUCACUGGGCGUAAAGGGCGCGUAGGUGGCGACGCAAGUCAACGGUGAAAGCUCGACGCUCAACGUCGAGUCGGCCGUCGAGACUGCGUGGCUCGAGCACUGUAGAGGCAGAUGGAAUUCCGGGUGUAGCGGUGGAAUGCGUAGAGAUCCGGAAGAACACCGGUGGCGAAGGCGGUCUGCUGGGCAGUAGCUGACACUGAGGCGCGACAGCGUGGGGAGCAAACAGG
rnacentral:rRNA from 1 species